rnacentral:rRNA from 1 species
AUUGAACGCUGGCGGCAUGCCUUACACAUGCAAGUCGAACGGCAGCGGACCUUCGGGUGCCGGCGAGUGGCGAACGGGUGAGUAAUGUAUCGGAACGUACCUUUCAGUGGGGGAUAACGUAGCGAAAGUUACGCUAAUACCGCAUAUUCUGUGAGCAGGAAAGCAGGGGAUCGCAAGAACUUGCGCUGAUUGAGCGGCCGAUAUCAGAGUAGCUAGUUGGUGAGGUAAAGGCUCACCAAGGCGACGAUCUGUAGCAGGUCUGAGAGGAUGAUCCGCCACACUGGAACUGAGACACGGUCCAGACUCCUACGGGAGGCAGCAGUGGGGAAUUUUGGACAAUGGGGGCAACCCUGAUCCAGCCAUGCCGCGUGAGUGAAGAAGGCCUUCGGGUUGUAAAGCUCUUUCGUCCGGGAAGAAAUCGCGUCAGCUAAUACCUGGUGUGGAUGACGGUACCGGAAUAAGAAGCACCGGCUAACUACGUGCCAGCCGCCGCGGUAAGAC